UUGGUCACCAUUUCUGUACCACAUUCACUGACAAAACUAAAGUAACAUGUCGGAGCCUGUUUUGUAUUUAACCAUGACAACCUUUGCUUUUAUGUCAUUCAGACACAACCGUUGGACAGAACUUCAGAUUGGUCUGAAAUGGAAAGUCCACAAGAUACGAGCCACACCCAGCCAGAAAGAUCCAGCCCUCAAUCUGGCAGGAGAAGAAGAAGUGACUCUGAAGACUCCGUUGAUGCUGUGACACAGGAGUCAAAAAGGAGGAGGACUGCAGGAGGAGCAGCAGCCCAAAAUGAUGGUUCCUCAAGCUCCUC